GGGCAAAUGGAACGACACGGGGCGCGGACUGUAAAUCCGCUGGCUUACGCCUUCGCUGGUUCGAAUCCAGCCCUGCCCACCA
rnacentral:tRNA from 1 species